CACGGAACCAUAAUCAGUUCAUAGCACUGGGAGUAUUCAGAAAUUUCCAUCACAAUGAAAAUAUUUAUUUUCGCAUUUGCUUUCGUUGUGCUAGCUGGUGUUUUUGACCUAGCUGAUUCGUCAAGACCAAAUCCACUGUCAGACUUCAUCCCCUGCAACAGCGAUGAGCAGUGCCAGAGCAUCUGCGCGCGUCGCUGCGACUACAACACCGUGUACGGCUUCUGCAACUCCAACAUCUGCUGGUGCGCGCCGAUAGACAGGGGCACUGGUGCCACGGGACACUCUAAACCGUGGUUAUAUUAAACUGGCCCAGUAUAUUGAACCAUAUUUGAAUGAUAGUAAAUCAAAUAAAGUAUUGCAUGUAAAUGAAUUUUUAUUU